UGUCAUGGCGGCUGUGCGUCGGAGACCUUCGGGUCUGCCGGUGUGUGCGAGUAAAAGGCCGGUAGCUGCCACCCUU
rnacentral:misc_RNA from 1 species